rnacentral:rRNA from 1 species
AGCGGCGGACGGGUGAGUAACGCGUGGGUAACCUGCCUCAUACAGGGGGAUAACAGUUGGAAACGGCUGCUAAUACCGCAUAAGCGCACAGUACCGCAUGGUACCGUGUGAAAAACUCCGGUGGUAUGAGAUGGACCCGCGUCUGAUUAGCUAGUUGGUGGGGUAACGGCCUACCAAGGCGACGAUCAGUAGCCGACCUGAGAGGGUGACCGGCUACAUUGGGACUGAGACACGGCCCAA